CCUACGGGAGGCAGCAGUAGGGAAUCUUCCGCAAUGGACGAAAGUCUGACGGAGCAACGCCGCGUGAACGAUGAAGGCUUUCGGGUCGUAAAGUUCUGUUGUCAGGGAAGAACAAGUACCGGAGUAACUGCCGGUACCUUGACGGUACCUGACCAGAAAGCCACGGCUAACUACGUGCCAGCAGCCGCGGUAAUACGUAGGUGGCAAGCGUUGUCCGGAAUUAUUGGGCGUAAAGCGCGCGCAGGCGGUUCCUUAAGUCUGAUGUGAAAGCCCCCGGCUCAACCGGGGAGGGUCAUUGGAAACUGGGGAACUUGAGUGCAGAAGAGGAGAGCGGAAUUCCACGUGUAGCGGUGAAAUGCGUAGAGAUGUGGAGGAACACCAGUGGCGAAGGCGGCUCUCUGGUCUGUAACUGACGCUGAGGCGCGAAAGCGUGGGGAGCGAACAGGAUUAGAUACCCUGGUAGUCCACGCCGUAAACGAUGAGUGCUAAGUGUUAGAGGGUUUCCGCCCUUUAGUGCUGCAGCAAACGCAUUAAGCACUCCGCCUGGGGAGUACGGCCGCAAGGCUGAAACUCAAAGGAAUUGACGG
rnacentral:rRNA from 1 species